rnacentral:rRNA from 1 species
UAAGGAAUAUUGCUCAAUGGGAGAAAUCCUGAAGCAGCAACGCCGCGUGGAGGAUGAAGGGUCUAUGGCUUGUAAACUCCUGUAAAGAAGGAAAAAAUUCCCAUUUGAUGGGAGAUGAUGGUACUUCUGGAGUAAGCCCCGGCUAACUACGUGCCAGCAGCCGCGGUAAUACGUAGGGGGCAAGCGUUGUCCGGAUUUACUGGGUGUAAAGGGUGCUCAGGCGGAUUUGUAAGUCAGAGGUGAAAUCUUACAGCUUAACUGUGAAACUGCCUUUGAUACUGCAAGCCUAGAGUAUGGAAGAGAGUGAUGGAAUAUCUGGUGUAGCAGUGAAAUGCGUAGAUAUCAGAUAGAACACCAAUGGCGAAGGCAGUCACUUGGUCCAUUACUGACGCUAAAGCACGAAAGCGUGGGUAGCAAACA